UUUCCGUAGGUGAACCUGCGGAAGGAUCAUUACUGAGUGAGGGCCCCUCGGGGUCCAACCUCCCACCCGUGUUUAACGAACCUUGUUGCUUCGGCGGGCCCGCCUCACGGCCGCCGGGGGGCAUCUGCCCCCGGGCCCGCGCCCGCCGAAGCCACCUGUGAACGCUGUCUGAAGUAUGCAGUCUGAGACAAUUAUUAAAUUAAUUAAAACUUUCAACAACGGAUCUCUUGGUUCCA
rnacentral:misc_RNA from 1 species